AAAGCAAACAAGCGAUAUCGUCGAAUGAUUCACUGGCCCGUACUUCCAUACAGUCACAUUUCCAUAAUGAAUAUAUUGCGAUGAGUUAUUUAACGAUUAUGUGCAUAAUUAGCACGUUUGAAGAAUACAAAAGUUAUUAGCAGAGUGUUUAUUUCGCUCGAGAAAGGUAUCUCUUCUUCGUCUUUGAAAUUCGUAUUUCGAUUGCAAAGACAAAAGACAAAGACAAAGGUUAUAAGAGACAAAGAAUUAAAAAUGCGAAGGAACGGGAGAGGGACAAGAGCGUAUAAUCGUUGUUUCUCAAUGGCAUCACGUGCGAGACGAAUCAGUGACACGCAACGUGCAACACGUGCAACGGUGCAACGAAGAGAAGAGAUAACAGUUAUCUGUCUGUGCAUGUAAGUUGAAUCGAAGGAAGAUUGUAUUCAGCUCGGCUAUGAAAUUCGUUUGUCGUUCUAUUUCGAUACAAUUUCGCGACCUUUCAAUUUAGUCAGCUAUGUUUAGCGCGAAACUAUGAAAUUACACGAUACCUAAGGUUAGUUUUACAGGGAUCUCGCUUAUAACCGAGUCCAGUUCAGUCUAUAACCAUUAUGUGAUCCGUAACAGUCGAGCGACACGGUCUGUACGAUCGUUUUAUUCAGUCGUACCGUUCUAUUUUAAGAAAUAAUAGCAGUCAAUGUUCGAUGUUAGGAACUUUAAACAUAACUUAUGGAAACGUUUCGAAUGUAAAUUUAAAUGCUCGUUAAAGUCAAAUAACUGCAUCUAAUAGAUUUGGAAGUAAAUAUUGUCUCUAGAAACGAUUUUAAAAAUGACGACACGUUAAGAGUAUCGCUAAACGAAAAGAGCG
rnacentral:misc_RNA from 1 species